rnacentral:rRNA from 1 species
AUAUUUUAUAUAUUAAUAUUGUUAUCUUUAUUUAAUUUAUUAAUAUUUUGUUUAUAAAGAGGUUGUUAAGGAUAACUGGCUAGUAUAGAUAAGGAAGUGUGACUCAAAUCAUGGUUUUAAUAUGUUAUCAUGUAAAUCCUUGGGAGGGAAACCUCUGUGAUAAUAACGAAGUGAACUGAAACAUCUUAGUAACUUUAGGAAAAGAAAUCAACCGAGAUUUUAUGAGUAGUGGUGAGCGAAAGUAAAUUAGCCGAUUAUCUUAAUAAUUCCUAAAAAGAAUAAUACUAUUCAGGUAUUUAUUGUUUUGUUCUUCAAGAAGAAUGGAAUUCUUGUGUUAAAAAGUUGGAAAACUUUGAUCUCUUUGUAGUUCUAACUAUAACAGGUGAAAGUCCUUUGAAAACAAGGUUAAGAUAUAUAUAAAGUAAAAUGAGAGUAAACUUGUUUGAAGAAUUAAAGAAUAUGUGAGUAUUCUUUAGUAGGGGAACUAUCCUCUAAGGCUAAAUAUGCUAUACUAAGCGAUAGUACAGAGUACCGUGAGGGAAAGUUGAAAAGAAUACAAUAGUGAAUUCUAUUGGAAAGUGAAAUAGAUCUUGAAUUAAUAACCUUAUAAGCAGUUGAAGGAAUGUAAAAAAUUCUAACAACGUACCUUUUGCAUAAUGGGUCAGUAAGUUAAUAUCUAAUGCAAGUUGAAAGACCUAAAGAAUUUGAAUUUAAAGCAAGUGUAGAGUAUUAGGUAUUAGACCCGAAACCUAGUGAUCUUACCAUGAUCAGAUGCAAGAUCGAACUGGUGUGCGUUGCAAAGUACUCAGAAGAAUUGUGGUAAGGAGUGAAAUACAAAUCGGACUAGGAUAUAGCUGGUUUUCUGCGAAAUUUGUAUUAGCAAAGUGUUUAUGUAAUAAAUUAGUAGGUAUAGCACUGAAUAUUCAUUCAGAGGGAGUACGUAAGUAUUUAUCUCGGAUAUUUAAUCUCAGAAUGACUAAUUUAUAAGAUAAAUGGAUGGACUUUUUGCGAGAAGGUGGAAAGUCAAGAGGGAAACAGCCCAGAACAGAAUGAAAGCUCCCGAAUUAAAUUUGAGUGAAAGAAAGGAAGUGGUUUUUCAGAGACAGUCAGGAAGUGGGCUUGGAAACAGCCAUCUUUUAAAGAACACGUAAUAGUGCAAUGAUCUAUGAAAGAUUGCGCCAAAAAUACAGGAUCUAAAAUUUGUGCUUAAAUUCUGUCGUGAAGAAAUGAAUUGAAUUUCUUUAUGGGUAGCAGAACAUUUAGUAUCUAAAAGAAGAAUAAUCUUUGAUUGUUUGGAUAGAACUAAAGAGAGAAUGCUGACAUGAGUAACGUUAAAAUAGGUGAGAAAUCCUAUUCGCCGAAAUUGGCAGGUUUUUGUAGUAAAGCUUAACUGCUACAAGUGAAUCGGUCUCUAACAGUAACUCUAAGGAGUAAUGGAUGAGUAAGUAUAUAAAAAGUAAAAGAAGAGUAUAGCUCAGGAAAAAGUAUAUUGAUUAACCGUACUAAAACCGACACAGGUCUAAGGAUGCGUAAAGUAUUCAGGCGAAUGAGAGAAUUAUUGCGAAGGAACUCGGCAAAAUUAUUUCGUAAUUUUGAAAGAAGGAAUGACCUCUGAAUUGGGGGUCUCAAGAAAUGAGGUUGUACAACUGUUUACUUAAAACACAGUACUUUGCAAAGAUGAAAAUCGGAGUAUAAGGUAUGAGAUCUGCCCAAUGCUAAAAGAUGAACGAAGGGUGUAUGAGUAAUACUCCUGGAAAGAAGUCUUAGUGAAUGGCGGCCUUAACUAUAAGGGUCCUAAGGUAGCGAAAUUCCUUGGCCGUUAAAUGCGGUCCCGCAUGAAUGAUAGAAUGAUACAACAACUGUCUCCGCAAUAAACUCAGUGAAAUUGGAAUAGCCGUGCAGAUACGGUUUAUGUGUAGAAAGACGGGAAGACCCUAUGCAGCUUUACUGUAAUUUGUCAUGGAUAAGUCUUUUUAAAAAAGUGUAGAAUAGAAGGUAGUCGAUGAGACACAGAUGAAAUCCCUUUAUUUUCUAAGAAGAAAUCUGACUCUUUCUAUAGAGGACAGUGAUGGAUGGACAGUUUAUGUGGGGCGCAUAUCUCAAAAAGAGUAUCUGAGAUGUCCGAAGGUAAAGUAAAAUUGGAUGGUAACCAAUCAAUGUAAGGAAUUCUUGUUUCUUUAAAGUAUUUCUUUGAAGAAGUUGUUUUAUUGGGAAAAGUAUAAUGAUAGAACUUUGCUUAACAGUAAGACUGACAAGUCGAACUGACACGUAAGUGGGGCAUAGUGACCCUCGUUAACAAAAUGGAAUGUGACGAGCUCAACGGAUAAAAGCUACGCUAGGGAUAACAGGGUAAUUUCGUGUGAGAGAUCCUAUUGACCACGAAGUUUGCCACCUCGAUGUCGACUCAACCUAUCCUCCAGGAGUAGAAUAUUGGAAGGGUUCGGCUGUUCGCCGAUUAAAAGGUUACGUGAGUUGGGUUAAAAACGUUGUAAAACAGUUUGGUUCCUAUCUUCUAUGCAGAGUAAAGUUCUAGAAGAAUUUGUUCUUUGUACGCAAGGAUCGGAAUGAAGAAACCUCUGGUUUAACUGUUGUACUCUUUUGUUCUCUUCUUCUCUUCAAAGAGUAAAAAAAUUUAGAGUGCAUGUAGUUUGGCUAUGUUUCUAAAGAAUAAAAAUUGAAGGCAUCUCAAAUUUGAAGUCUCUCUUCAGUAACUUUGAAAACGUUAAAGAUGAUAACGUGAAUAGGCUUUAUUUGUAAGAAUAGUAAUAUUUUAAGAUAUAAAGUACUAAUAUUUUCUAAACAGGCUAUAUACUUAUCGA